CCUACGGGGGGCAGCAGUGAGGAAUAUUGGUCAAUGGGCGAGAGCCUGAACCAGCCAAGUCGCGUGAAGGAUGACGGCCCUACGGGUUGUAAACUUCUUUUGUCAGGGAGCAAUUGGGUCCACGCGUUGGCUUAGCGAGAGUACCUGAAGAAAAAGCAUCGGCUAACUUCGUGCCAGCAGCCGCGGUAAUACGGGGGUUGCGAGGGUUAUCCGGAUUUGUUGGGUUAAAGGGGUGCGUAGUCGGAAUAUCAAGGCAGCGGUAAAAAUUCGGGGUUCAACCCCGUCGUGCCGUUGAAACUGAUGUUCUUGAGUAGGCGAGAGGUAUGCGGAAUGCGUGGUGUAGCGGUGAAAUGCAUAGAUAUCACGAAGAACUCCGGUUGCGAAGGCAGCAUACCGGAGCCCAACUGACGCUGAAGCACGAAAGCGUGGGUAUCGAACAGGAUUAGAUACCCCUGUAGUC
rnacentral:rRNA from 1 species